ACCAACAAAUCGUAACUACAACAAUGGCUAACACAACAAUCCAACCAGAAAUCAGCAAAAAAUUACAAACUCUGAUGUUUACACAACACACAACAACUAUAACAACAAAAAUACAAGUAAUUUGAGGAAAACUAACCGAAUCGAAAAAAACCCUAACUUUGUGAAUGAACAGAAACUUGAAUGAAAGCCGGUGAGGGUAACAUCGAUCGAAAGCCCUCGACGUGUAGAACCAGAAUAUACCCGCUCUGAUACCAUGUCAACAAUCUAACUCAUCGGAUUAAAGAAAAUAAGGAAGAAGACGAUGAACAGUAAAAAGGAAAGAGAAGAGAGAAAAUGAAUCUGAAUUUUG
rnacentral:lncRNA from 1 species